rnacentral:rRNA from 1 species
GAUGAACGCUGGCGGCGUGCUUAACACAUGCAAGUCGAACGGAAAGGCCCAAGCUUGCUUGGGUACUCGAGUGGCGAACGGGUGCGUAACACGUGGGUGAUCUGCCCUGCACUUCGGGAUAAGCCUGGGAAACUGGGUCUAAUACCGGAUAGGACGAUGGUUUGGAUGCCAUUGUGGAAAGUUUUUUCGGUGUGGGAUGAGAUCGCGGCGUAUCAGCUUGUUGGUGGGGUAAUGGCCUACCAAGGCGUCGACGGGGAGCCGGCCUGAGAGGGUGUACGGCCAGAUUGGGACUGAGAUACGGCCCAGACUGCGACGGGAGGCAGCAGGGGGGAAUAUCGGACCAAGGGCGCAAGCCUGAGGCAGCGACGCCGCGUGGGGGAUGAGGGCCUUCGUGUUGUAAACUCCUUUCGCUAGGGACGAAGCGUUUUUGUGACGGUACCUGGAGAAGAAGCACCGGCUAACUACGUG